rnacentral:rRNA from 1 species
CUAACGCAUUAAGUUAUCCGCCUGGGGAGUACGGUCGCAAGAUUAAAACUCAAAGGAAUUGACGGGGGCCUGCACAAGCGGUGGAGCAUGUGGUUUAAUUGGAAGCAACGCGCAGAACCUUACCAGCCUUUGACAUCCUAGGACGGUUUCUGGAGACAGAUUCCUUCCCUUCGGGGACCUAGUGACAGGUGCUGCAUGGCUGUCGUCAGCUCGUGUCGUGAGAUGUUGGGUUAAGUCCCGCAACGAGCGCAACCCUCGUCCUUAGUUGCCAUCAUUUAGUUGGGCACUUUAAGGAAACUGCCGGUGAUAAGCCGGAGGAAGGUGGGGAUGACGUCAAGUCCUCAUGGCCCUUACAGGCUGGGCUACACACGUGCUACAAUGGCAUCUACAGUGGGCAGCUAUCCCGCAAGGGUGAGCUAAUCUCCAAAAGAUGUCUCAGUUCGGAUUGUUCUCUGCAACUCGAGAGCAUGAAGGCGGAAUCGCUAGUAAUCGCGGAUCAGCAUGCCGCGU